GAUGAAGAACGUAGCGAAAUGCGAUAAGUAAUGUGAAUUGCAGAAUUCAGUGAAUCAUCGAAUCUUUGAACGCACAUUGCGCCCCCCAGUAUUCUGGCGGGCAUGCCUGUUUGAGCGUCAUUUCAACCAUCAAGCCCUGCUUGUGUUGGGGUCCUGCGGCUGCCCGCAGGCCCUGAAAACCAGUGGCGGGCUCGCUAGUCACACCGAGCGCAGUAGCACAUCUCGCUCAGGGCGUGCGGCGGGCUCCAGCCGUUAAAGCACCCACCUUUCGCAAGGUUGACCUCGGAUCAGGUAGGAAUACCCGCUGAACUUAAGCAUAUCAAUAAGCGGAGGA
rnacentral:misc_RNA from 1 species